GUGUGUUCCAGGUAAAUCCGGUUCACUUUAACACUGAGGCGUGACGACGAGGCACUACGGUGCUGAAGCAACAAAUGCCCUGCUUCCAGGAAAAGCCUCUAAGCAUCAGGUAACAUCAAAUCGUACCCCAAACCGACACAGGUGGUCAGGUAGAGAAUACCAAGGCGCUUGAGAGAACUCGGGUGAAGGAACUAGGCAAAAUGGUGCCGUAACUUCGGGAGAAGGCACGCUGACACGUAGGUGAAGUGAUUUACUCAUGGAGCUGAAGUCAGUCGAAGAUACCAGCUGGCUGCAACUGUUUAUUAAAAACACAGCACUGUGCAAACACGAAAGUGGACGUAUACGGUGUGACGCCUGCCCGGUGCCGGAAGGUUAAUUGAUGGGGUCAGCGCAAGCGAAGCUCCUGAUCGAAGCCCCGGUAAACGGCGGCCGUAACUAUAACGGUCCUAAGGUAGCGAAAUUCCUUGUCGGGUAAGUUCCGACCUGCACGAAUGGCGUAAUGAUGGCCAGGCUGUCUCCACCCGAGACUCAGUGAAAUUGAACUCGCUGUGAAGAUGCAGUGUACCCGCGGCAAGACGGAAAGACCCCGUGAACCUUUACUAUAGCUUGACACUGAACAUUGAGCCUUGAUGUGUAGGAUAGGUGGGAGGCUUUGAAGCGUGGACGCCAGUCUGCGUGGAGCCGACCUUGAAAUACCACCCUUUAAUGUUUGAUGUUCUAACGUGGACCCGUAAUCCGGGUUGCGGACAGUGUCUGGUGGGUAGUUUGACUGGGGCGGUCUCCUCCUAAAGAGUAACGGAGGAGCACGAAGGUUGGCUAAUCCUGGUCGGACAUCAGGAGGUUAGUGCAAUGGCAUAAGCCAGCUUGACUGCGAGCGUGACGGCGCGAGCAGGUGCGAAAGCAGGUCAUAGUGAUCCGGUGGUUCUGAAUGGAAGGGCCAUCGCUCAACGGAUAAAAGGUACUCCGGGGAUAACAGGCUGAUACCGCCCAAGAGUUCAUAUCGACGGCGGUGUUUGGCACCUCGAUGUCGGCUCAUCACAUCCUGGGGCUGAAGUAGGUCCCAAGGGUAUGGCUGUUCGCCAUUUAAAGUGGUACGCGAGCUGGGUUUAGAACGUCGUGAGACAGUUCGGUCCCUAUCUGCCGUGGGCGCUGGAGAACUGAGGGGGGCUGCUCCUAGUACGAGAGGACCGGAGUGGACGCAUCACUGGUGUUCGGGUUGUCAUGCCAAUGGCACUGCCCGGUAGCUAAAUGCGGAAGAGAUAAGUGCUGAAAGCAUCUAAGCACGAAACUUGCCCCGAGAUGAGUUCUCCCUGAGACUUUAGGUCUCCUGAAGGAACGUUGAAGACGACGACGUUGAUAGGCCGGGUGUGUAAGCGCAGCGAUGCGUUGAGCUAACCGGUACUAAUGAACCGUGAGGCUUAACCUUACAACGCCGAAG
rnacentral:rRNA from 1 species